AAUUAUUUGAGAGCGGCGAACGGGUGAGUAACAUGUUGAUAUCUGCCCCCAAGUCAGGGAUAGCCAUUGGAAACGAUGAUUAAUACCGGAUAGUCUCUACGGAGUAAAAAUUUAUUGCUUGGGGAGGAGUCUACAUUCUAUCAGAUAGUUGGUGAGGUAAAAGCUCACCAAGUCAAUGACGGAUAGCUGGUCUGAGAGGAUGAUCAGCCACAAUGAAACUGAGACACGGUUCAUACUCCUACGGGAGGCAGCAGUGAGGAAUCUUCCACAAUGGACGAAAGUCUGAUGGAGCGACACCGCGUGAAGGAUGAAGGCCUAACGGUUGUAAACUUCUUUUCUGAAGGAGCAUAAUGAGAGUACUUCAGGAAUAAGGGACGGCUAAUUACGUGCCAGCAGCCGCGGUAAUACGUAAGUCCCGAGUGUUACCCGGAAUCAUUGGGUGUAAAGGGUUCGUAGGCGGAUAAUUAAGUUGGGUAUUAAAGACCGAGGCUCAACCUCGUGUUUGUGCCCAAAACUGAUUGUCUAGAAUUAGGGAGAGGUAAGUGGAAUCCUGUGUGUAGGGGUGCAAUCCGUAGAUACACAG
rnacentral:rRNA from 1 species